GCUGGCGCUCCUGUCCUCCGCAGGUGCUCGCUGUCCUCCAAUGGCACUCCACUUCUAUCCUCUGACAGCGCGCUAGUAACCUCCGCAGGUGUGCUUCCUCUAAUCUCCGCCGGCGCGCUGCAUCUAUACUCCGAUGGCGCUCCCGUCCGCCGCAGGCGCUCCCUGUUCUCUGCAGAUGCUCCCGUCCUCUGCAGGCGCUCGCUGUCCUCUGCUGGUGCUCCACAUCUAUCCUCCAAUGGCACACAACCUGUAACCUCCGCCAGGGUGCUACCUCUUAUCCUCUGCUGGCGCGCUACCUCUAUCUUCUGACGGUGCUCUGUCCUCGGCAGGCGCUCCCUAUUCUCCGCAGGUGCUCCCGUCCUCUACAGGUGCUUGCCGCCCUCAGCAGGUGCUCCACCUCUAUCUUCUGGAAGCGCGCUAUCUCUAAACUCCACUGACGCGCUACCUCUAUCGUCUGACGGUGCUCCCAUUCUCUGCAGACGUUCCCUGUUCUCCGCAGGUGCUCCCAUCCUCCACAGAUGCUCCAUCACUAUCAUCCAAUGGCGCGCUACCUCUAUCUUCUGACAGUGCUCCUGUCAUCCGCCGGCACUCCCUGUUCUCCUCAACUACUCCCGUCCUCCGCAAAUGCUCCACAUCUAUCCUCCGACGGCGCACUAUCUGUAACCUCCACCAGUGUCCUACCUCCUAUCUUCUGCUGGCGCUCUACCUCUAUCCACUGGCGGCACACUACGUCUAUCCGUUGCUGGUGUGUUACCGCUAAACUCAGCCAGCGAGAUACCUCUAUCUUCUAACGGCGCUCCAGUCCUCCGCAGGUGCUUCCUGUUUUCCUCAGGUGCUCUCGUCCUCUGCAGGCACUCGCUGUCCUCCACAGGCACUCCACCUCUAUCAUCUGACAGAACACUACAUCCAACCUCGGCCGGUGCACUACAUCCAUCCUCCAAUGGCACGCUACCUCUAACCUCCGCUGGCGUGCUACCUCUAUCUUCUGACGGUGCUCCCAUCCCCCACAGGUGCCGCACCUCUUUCCUCUGCUGGCGCACUUCCUCAAUCCUCUGCCGGUGCACUACCUCUACACUCUGAUGAUGUUCCCAUACUGUGCAGGCAAUCCCUGUUCUCCGCAGGUGCUCCUGUCCUCUACAGGCGCUCACCGUCCUCUGCAGGCAAUCCACCUCAAUCUUCUGAAGGCAUGCUAUUGCAAAACUCAGCCAGCGAAUUACUUCUAUUUUCUUACGGCGCUCCCAUCGUCCGCAGGCGCUCCCUGUUCUACGCAGGUGCUCCCAUCCUCCGUAGAAACUCCACCUCUAUCAUCGGAUGGCGAAACAGAACCUCCACCUUGAUGCUCCGACAGCACACUACCGGUAACCUCCGCCUGUGCACCUCUUCUACCUCUAUCUUCUGAUUGCGCUCCUGUCAUUUGCAGGCACACCUUGUUCUCUGCAGGUGCUCCCGUACUCCGUAGAAACUCCACCUCUAUCAUCGGAUGGCGCACUACAUCUAACCUCUGCCAGCAAACAAACUCUGUUUUCUGACGGCGAUCCCAUCCUCCGCAAUCACUCCCUGUUCUCCACAGGUGCUCCUUUCAUCCACCGACAUUCUACCUCUAUCCACGAACAGCGCACUACCUCUAACCUCCGAUAGCGCGCUAACUCUUAUCCUCUGCCAGGAUGCUACUGCUAACCUCCGACAGCGCACGACCUCUAUCUUCAGAUGGUGCUCCCGUCAUCUGCAGGUGCUCCCUGUUUUCCGCAGGUGCUCCUGUCCUCGGCAGAUGCUCCACCUCUAUCCCGUGAUGGCACACUACAUAUAACCUCUGCCGGCGCACUAAUUCUGUCUUCUGACGGCGCUCCUGUCCUCCACAGUCACUCCCUGUUCACCACAGGUGCUCCCAUCCUCCGCAGACCCUCAACGUCGAUCCAGUGACAGAGCACUACCUCUAACCUCUGCCAGCAUGCUACCUCUUUCUUCUGACAGCGCACCCAUCAUCUGCAGGCGCUCCUUGUUCUCCACAGGUGCUCCUGUCCUCUGCAGAUGCUCCACCUUUAUCCUCUGAUGAUGCACUACAUCUAACCUCUGCCGGCGCACUAACUAUGCCUUCUGACAGUGCUCCCGUCCUCCAGAGGUGCUCCCUGUUCUCCGCAGGUGCUACGAUCCUCCGCAGACCCUCCACCUCGAUCCUCUGAUGGCACACUACCUCUAACCUCUGCCGGCGCACUACCUCUAUCUUCUAACCACGCUCCCAUCAUCUGCAAGCAGUCUCUGUUCUCCGCAGAUGCUCUCGUCCUCCGCAAACGCUCCAACUCGAUCCUCUGAUGAUGCACUACAUGUAACCUCUGCCGGCGCACUAACUCUGUCUUCUGAUGGUGCUCCUGUCCUUGGCAAUCGCUUCCUGUUCUCCGCAGGUGCUCCCAUCCUCCGCAGAAGUUCCAGCUCUAUCCUCUGAGAGUGCACUACCUCUAUCUUCUGCCGGGGCACUAACUAUGCAUUCUGACAGUGCUGCCAUCAUCUACAGAUGUUCUGUGUUCUCUGCAGGUAACCCCAUCAACCACAGGUGCUUUACAUCUAUCCUCUGAAGGCACACUACAUCUAACCUCUGCCGGCGCACUAACUAUGCCUGCUGACAGCACUCCUGUCCUCCGCAGGUGCUCCCUGUUCUCAUGAGGUACUCCGAUCCUCCGCAGACACUCCACCUUGAUCCUCUGAUGGCACACUACCUCUAACCUCUGCUGGCACAAUACCUAUAUCUUCUAACCACGCUCCCAUCAUCUGUAAGCAGUCUCUGUUCUCCACAGAUGGUCUUGUCCUCCGCAGACGCUCCAACUCGAUCCUCUGAUGAUGCACUACAUCUAACCUCUGCCGGCGCACUAUGUCUUCUGACAGCGCUCCUGUCCUCCGCAGGUGCUCCCUGUUCGCUGCAGGUGCUCCCAUCCUUCGCAGACCCUCCACCUCGAUCCUCUGAUGGCACAAUGCCUCUAACCUCUGCUGGCGCACUACCUCUAUCUCCUAACCACGCUCCCAUCAUCUGCAAGUGGUCUCUGUUCUCCGCAGAUGCUCUUGUCCUCCGCAGACGCUUCACGUAUAUCCUCUGAUGAUGCACUACCUCUAAACUCUGCCGGCGCACUACCUCUAUCUUCUGACAACACUCCCGUCAUCUGCAGGCACUCCUUGAUCUCUGUAGGUGUUCCCGUCCUCUGCCAAUGCUCCACCUCAAUCCUCUGAUGAUGCACUACAUCUAACCUCUGCUGGCGCACUAACUAUGCAUUCCGACAGCCCUCCCAUCAUCUUCAGGUGUUCUAUGUCCUCUGCAGUUGCUCCUAUCCUCCGCAGAUGCUCCACUUAUAUCCUCUGAAGGCACACUGCAUCUAACCUCUGCCGGCGCACUAACUAAGCCUUCUGACAGCGCUCCCGUCCUCCGCACAUGCUCCCUGUUCUCCGCAGGUGCUCCUAUCCUCCGCAGAUGCUCCACCUAUAUCCUCUGAAGGCACACUACAUCUAACCUCUGCCGGCGCACUAACUAUGUCUUCUGACAGCGCUCCUCUCCUCCACAGGUGCUCCCUGUUCUCCGCAGGUGCUCCGAUCCUCCGCAGACCCUCCGCCUCGAUCCUCUGAUGGCACAAUACCUCUAACCUCUGCCGGCGCACUACCUCAAUCUUCUAACCACGCUCCCAUUAUCUGCAAGCCGUCUGUGUUCUCCGCAGAUGCUCUUGUCCUCUGCAGACGCUCCACAUCUAUCCUCAGACAGCGCACUACAUCUGACCUCUGCUGGCGCACUACCUCUAUCUUCUGACAAUACUCCCAACAUCUGCAGGCACUCCUUGACCUCCGCAGAUGCUCUUGUCCUCUGCAGACGCUCCACAUCUGUCCUCGGAUGAUGCACUACAUCUAACCUCUGCCAGCGCACUAACUCUGUCUUCUGAUGCUGCUCCUGUCCUUGGCAAUUGCUUCCUGUCCUCCGCAGGUGCUCCUAUCCUCCACAGAUGCUCCACCUCUAUCCUCUGAAGGCACACUACAUCUAACCUCUGCCGGCGCACUAACUAUGCCUUCUGACAGCGCUCCCGUCCUCCGCACGUGCUCCCUGUUCUCCUCAGGUACUCCGAUCCUAGGCAGACCCUCCACCUUGAUCCUCUAAUGGCACACUACAUCUAACCUCUGCUGGCACACUACCUCUAUCUUCUAACCACGCUCCCAUCAUCUGCAUGCCGUCUGUGUUCUCCGCAGCUGCUCUUGUUCUCCGCAGACGCUCCAACUCGAUCCUCUGAUGAUGCACUACAUCUAACCUCUGCUGGCGCACUAACUCUGUCUUCUGAUGGUGCUGCUGUCCUUGGCAAUCACUUCCUGUUCUCCACAGGUGCUCCUAUCCUCCGCAGAUGCUCCACCUAUAUCCUCUGAAGGCACACUACAUCUAACCUCUGCUGGCGCACUAACUGACUUCUGACAGCACUCCUGUCCUCCACAGCUGCUCCCUGUUCUCCACAAAUGCUCCCGUCCUCCCCAGACGCUCCACCUCGAUCCUCCGACAGCGCACUACCUCUAUCUUCUGACAACACUCCCGUCAUCUGCAGGCACUCCUUGAUCUCUGUAGGUGUUCCCGUCCUCUGCCGAUGCUCCACCUCAAUCCUCUGAUGAUGCACUACAUCUAACCUCUGCCGGCGCACUAACUCUGUCUUCUGAUGGUGCUCCCAUCCUUGGCAAUCGCUUCCUCUUCUCUGCAGGUGCUCCUAUCCUCUGCAUAAGUUCUAGCUCUAUCCUCUGACAGCGCAGUACCUCUAACCUCUGCUGGUGCACUAACUAUGCAUUCCGACAGUGCUCCCAUCAUCUGCAGGUGUUCUGUGUCCUCUGCAGGUACCCCCAUCCUCCACAGGUGCUCUACCUCUAUCCUCUGAUGGCACACUACCUCUAACCUCUGCUGGCGCACUACCUCUAUCUUCUGACAACGCUCCCAUCAUCUGCCAGCGCUCUGUGUUCUCUGCAGGUGCUCCCAUCCUCCACAGAUGCUCCAUCUACAUCCUCUGAAGUCACACUACAUCUAACCUCUGCCGGCGCACUAACUAUGCCUUCUGACAGCACUCCUGUCCUCCACGGGUGCUCCCUGUUGGUAGCAGGUGCUCCCAUCCACCGCAGACUCUCCACCUCGAUCCUCUGAUGUCACUCUGUCUCUAACCUCUGCUGGCGCACUACCUCUAUCUUCUAACCACGCUCCCAUCAUCUGCAAGCAGUCUCUGUUCCCCGCAGGUGCUCCUGUCCUCCCCAGACGCUCCACCUAGAUCCUCCGACAGCGCACUACAUCUAACCUCUGCCAGCUCACUAACUAUACCUUCUGACAGCACUCCCAUCCUCCGCACGUGCUCCCUCUUGUCCGCAAAUGCUCCCGUCCUCCCCAGACGCUCCACCUCGAUUCUCCGACAGCGCACUACCUCUAACCUCUGCCGGCGCGCUACCUCUGUCUUCUGACAACACUCCUGUCAUCUGCAGGCACUCCUUGAUCUCUGUAGGUUUUCCCGUCGUCUGCCUAUGCUCCACCUAUAUCCUCUGAUGAUGCACUACAUCUAACCUCUGCUGGUGCACUAACUACGCAUUCCGACAGUGCUCCCAUCAUCUCCAGGUGUUCUGUGUUCUCUGCAGGUACCCCCAUCCUCCACAGGUGCUCUACCUAUGUCCUCUGAAGGCACACUACCUCUAACCUCUGCCGGCGCACUAACUAUGCCUUCUGACAGCGCUCCCAUCCUCCGCAGGUGCUCCCUGUUGUCCUCAGGUGCUCCCAUCCACCCCAGACCCUCCACCUCGAUCCUCUGAUGGCACACUACCUCUAACCUCUGCCGGUUCACUAGCUAUUCCUUCUGACAGCACUCCCGUUCUUCGCAGUCAGUCCCUGCUUGCCGCAGGUGCUCCCGUCCUCUGCAGACCCUCCACCUCAAUCCUCCAACAGCACACUACCUCUAACCUCUGCCUGCAAGCUACCUCUAUCUUCAGAUCAUGCUUCCAUCAUCUGCAGGCACUCCUUGAUCUCCACAGAUGUUCCCAUCCUCCCCACAUCUUGCACUUCGAUCCUGUGACAGCGCACUACCUGUAACCACUGCCAGUGUGCUACCUCUAUCUUCUGUUCGCGCUCCCGUCAUCUGCAGACACUCUUUGUUCUCCACAGGUGCUCCCGUCCUCCACAGACUCUUCACCUCUAUCCCGUGAUGGCACACUGCAUCUAAACUCUGCCAGCUCACUAACUCUGUCUUCCAACAGCGCUCCCGUCCUGCACAGGCUCUCCAUGUUCUCUGCAGGUGAUCUCAUCCUCCCCAGACCCUCCACCUCGAUCCUCUGAUGGGGCACUACAUCUAACCUCUGCCAGCGCACUACCUCUAUCUUCUGAAAACACUCCCAUCAUCUGCAGGCCUUCUGUGUUCUCUGCAGAUGCUCCUGUCCUCUGCAGAUGCUCCACCUAUAUCUUCUGAUGGCACACUACAUCUAACCUCUGCCAGCGCACUAAAUCUGUCUUAUGACGGCACUCCUGUCCUCUACAAUUACUUCCAGUUCCCUGCAGGUGCUCUUUUCCUCCGCAGACAUUCCACCUCUAUCCUCCAACAGCGCACUACAUCUAACCUCUGCCAGUGCACUAAUUCUGUUUUCUGCCGGUGUUCCCGUCCUCUGCAGUCACUCCCUGUUCUCCGCAGGUUCUCCUGUUCUCUGCAGACCCACUACUUUGAUCCUCCAACAGUGCACUACCUCUAACCUCUGCCGGCAAGCUACCUCUAUCUUCUGAUUGUGCUCCCAUCAUCUGCAGGCACUCCUUGUUCUCCGCAGGUCCUCUUUUUCUCCGCAUACGUUACACCUCUAUCAUCUGACAGUGCACUACCUCUAACCUUUGCCGGCGUGCUACCUCUUAUCCUCUGCUGGUGUGUUACCUCUAAUCUCUGCUGGUGCUACCUUUGUCUUCUGACUGAGCUCCCGUCCCCCGUAGGUGCUCCCUGUUUUCUUCAGGUGCUCCUGUCCUCCACAGACCAUCCACCUCUGUCCUCCAAUGGUGCACUACCUCUAACCUCUGCUGGCGCACUACCUCUAUAUUCUGACGGUGCUCCUGUCCUCUGCAAGCGCUCCCUGUUCCCCACAGGUGCUCCCUGUCCUCCGCAGGUACUCCACCUCUAUUCUCUGAUGGCACACUACAUCUAACCUCCACCGGCGUGCUACCUCUAUCUUCUGACGGUGCUCCCAUCCUCUGCUGGCGCUCCCUGUUCUCUGCAGGUGCUUUCAUUCUCCACAGACACUCCACCUCUAUCUUCCAAUGUCGCACUACAUCUAACCUCUGCUGGCGCACUACCUCUAUCUUCUGAUGGCUCUCCCAUCCCCCGCAGCUGUUGCACCUCUUUCCUCUGCUAGCACACUACCUCUAACCUUUGCCAGCGCACAACUACUAUCCUCUGACGACGUUCCUGUCCUCUGCAGGCACUCCCCAUCUCCUCAGGUGUUCCCGUCCUCUGCAAACCCUCCACCUUUAUCCUCCAAUGGUGCACUACCUCUAACCUCUACCGACGCACUACCUCUGUCUUCUGACAGUGCUCCCAUCCUCCACAGAUGCUCCACCUCUAUCUUCUGACAGCGCACUACCUCUAACCUCCGCCGGCGCACUACCUGUAUUCUCCGACGGCACUGUGUCCUCCGCAAACCCUCCUUCUUCUCUGCAGGUACUCCCAUCAUCCGCAGGUGCUCCCUUGCUCUGCAGGCACUCGCCAUCCUCCGCAGGCGCUCCCUGUUCCUGUAUAUGAUGUGUUUGAUUAUUAAUUGCAGUAUUCCAGUUUAGCUGGGAAAUAAGAAUCUACAGUACAAGUUAUUGAGGGAUUACAUUUUUAGGCAUAUAUUUGAGGCACUUGAGUAUCAGGGAG
ensembl:lncRNA